rnacentral:lncRNA from 1 species
UGCAUGGUAGGUGGUAAUAAAUUCUUAACAGUUUGUUGUUUGAUACUCAUGUUUGGCUUAUUGGAUCAUGGUGCCAGAGGCAAAAAUAAUUAGAAGGAGGAUAGUAUUUAGUAAAGCAAGACAAAAUUAAGUUUUAUUUAAAAAUUAUUAUUAUUAUGAUUGUGGUAAAAUACACAUAACAUAAAAUUUGCCAUCUUCACUAUUUUUAAUUGUGUAGUUCGGUGGUAUUAAAUAUGUUCACAUGUUAUGUAACCAUCAACAUCAUCAAUCUCCAUAAUGCUUUUCAUUUUGUAAAUCUGAAAUUCCAUACCCAUUAAGCAAUAACUCCCUAUUUACCCCACCCCCCAGACCCUGACAACCACAAUUCUAUUUUCUGUCUCUAUGGUUUAGACUACUUUAAGUACCUUUUAUAAGUGGAAUCAUGCAAUAUUUGUCUUUUUGUGACUGGUCAUUUUUCUUAGCAUAAAGUUGUCAACCUUUAUGACAACUUCUUCCAUAUUGUAGCAUAUGUAAGAAUUUCCUUCCUUUUUAAGGCUGAAUAAUCCAAAUUAAGUUUUGUAGCCUGAUAAAAUACUGACAGGUUGAACAUCAUAGAAAACCCUUUAUAAAAUCUGUAUUUAAAUAAAUAGUUUCCAUUCUAUAGAGUAUAAUGUUGCGCUUAUUAAAAGAGAAAUAAUGAUAAAAACAUGUAUUUGAUGUACAAACAUUCUGCUUAUGGCAUCUUGAAGAAUUUAGGACACAGUCACAUUCAGGAAUUACAGGCUAAUGAGCAUCUUCACCUCUUUUCAUUCACUCUGAAGAGGUUUCAUGAAAGUCAGAAGACUUUCAACAUUGGGAAUGUUGGAAUGAAAUGUGCUUUAGUAUUUUUAAUUUUUUUUAAAUAAAAUAAUCCAGGUGAGGUUAAUUAAUGCAUACACUCAGCCUAAUCAAAAGAAAUCUAUUGGGAUAAUGAGCAUUUUGGUGACUAUUGCAAAGAAAAAGGUGCUUAUUUCUAAGGCAGAAAGAAAAUAUAUUUUCAUAGUUAAUAUAUACAUUAAAAUUGUAUGUACUUGCAUAUUAGAUAUACACAGUGUUAAAGCUAUGGCUAAUAUAUCAUUUUGGAGAAAAAUCUGAGUAAAAAUUAACUCUUGUAAAGAGUUACUGGUGUCAGAUGGCAGAGUCCCAAAUGAGUGGAUUCGUUUAUCCCCACAAUGUAUCAGGUGAUCACCUCUCAUAAAAACUACUAUUAACCUAAAAAAUUAGGGUCAGUAAAAGCUUAGCUCUAAUUCACAAAUCUCAACAAGCUGAACUGUUAGACCCAGUGAGCUCAUUAGGAUAGAUUAAAGACCAAACAUAAUGACAUUACGAAAUAUGUGAUUUUAAUAUGUUUGAUCCUAUCAGAGCAAUCCUUUUAAUAACAUGAUUUUAUUGUGGAACCUUGUAUGUUUUCCUUAAAAACCAAAAAGACAAUCUAAAAAUUUAACCCAUUGUUGUUUCUUAGCUUGUAACCCCGUGAUACUUGAUUUAAUUUGGUAAAGCUGACUGAAGUGAUGCUAUUCUGGGACAUAAUGACAGCAAAGAUGACAUGAGCCAAUGCUGCAGCUGAAUUUCAAUUUUCAGUAAAAAAUCCUCACCCCACCUGCCACUGGAAUAGAAAUAAUAUCAAGGGCUAACUUCUAAUCUUGCACCCCUGUCAUACAUCAUACUCUGGAUUCCAACAGUCUACACCUAUUUUCUUUUAUAAUGGUCCUAACCCCAAACAAGCAACCUAGGGUUUGUAGCAACAAAAUCAGAUCCUUACAGUGAACAGGACUUUGCAAAGCACCUUCUUCAGAAUUAGUAAUAUUACUUACUUAAUAUGGGAAAAAACAUACAAAUCUUACCAUCAAUGGGCCAACUCAUAACCAACAAUUUAUAGCAUACAAGAACCUUCAUGGUAUCUUAUUCAACCUUUAACAUAAUUCUAUUUGUUAUCAUUAAUUCUAAAUCACAAAUGAGGAAACAGAGUCAGAAACAGCUGAUUUUUCACUGUGCUUGGGUUAGGUCCAACUCUGGAAUUAUCAUAUGCAAAUAAUGACAGAGAGAGGCUCUCAUAUAGUUGUAGAAUUGUAACAAGACAACAAGCAAUUCACAUAAGUCAUGGUUUCUCAGACAAUAAUCUUGUUUAGUAAUUAUUAGUCUUUAUCUGAAACACAUGGUUUGAUGGUAAAUUUUUUGAAUAGGCGAUAAUAAAAAAUAAUUCUCAAAAAGAACCCUCAAAGUCAACUGUGUGUAUUUCCUUCUUUCCUGGUGGGGAAAGUUUAUAAGGGUUGGGGCAAGUCCCUUCAGACCCAGGAAUUUGAUAAACACCAUCAGGGUUGUUGAGACCAACCUCACUGUGAGAGAGAAACAGAAUGAAUGAGAUGUUGAUAUAGGAAAGGAAGUAGCUGAAUUAAGAGUGUUUUCUUCUUUACUAACAGCCAGUCCACACGUUGAAAAGCAUUCAGUUACAAUUUUUAUCUAUAAAGAGUGGAACAUUCGCCCAAUGUCCCAGUACAAUAGGACCAUGAGAGUGAAGUUCCCUAAAGAACUCAACCAUUUCCAUGGAUAGAUGGCAGAGGAACACAGCUUUGCUGUCAGAAUGAUUUGUGACCAGGCCUAGAUGGGGACUGGGGGCAUCCUGGCAGGUUGAUAAUUUUAUUUUAAAACCAUAUUCUUUCAAUAUUUGUACAUUUAUAUCGAAGAGAGUCUGAGCUCUGUGUGGGAGCAAUGUGCAGUGGGAACUUCUGGGUCCCUCGGUGUCCCCUUUCAUGUCUUAGGCUAUUUGGCUCUACCAGGUGUGGAUAUUCCACUCAGCACGGCUGUGCCCACAGAGGCUGUGCCUCUGGCUUGCUCUUCUUGGAAGUCAGAUGCAAAUAUCGCCUUCUCGGGUCUUAGCCCCAUCUUAGUAUCCCAUCCUUUUCCCUAAGAAGAAACGUGGCAUAUACAAGUUCCUCCAUCUUGUGACAUUUCCACGAUUCUCUUAGCCCCUCUUACAGAACAGUUUCCCAAGCAGCAGCCUGCCUGAUCCACCCUUAAUUCAGCUGUGCGUCUGACAACAUGUUCUACAGGAAAGAUAACCUUGUACAUCAGGUGUUUCCUGUUUCCAGUACCAAAAGGUCAGUACUUGAUUACACAUGUAUUUACAAGGGUAGAGAAGGGAAAUGAUCAAAAGUUUUUACAACCAUAGUCCUUCAAUUAAGAAAGAAGUGGUCUUUAAUUUUCUCCAUUCUUUUUAAAAAUUCUCUUUCUACCUUUGUUUAAAUAUCUCUCCUAACUAGGAAAGACCUGUUGUACAUCAUACAAGGCAUACCAACCCACAUACUAGAACACAUAAGUAGGAGGAAUAGUGUUCUAGAAGAGAAUUACUAUUUGGAGAAAAAAAGGCAUAAUUUCCUUUUACAGUCAUGCAUUGCUUAAUGCCAGAGAUACGUCCUGAGAAAUGUGUGAUUAGGCAGUAUCAUCAUUGUGUGAACAUAAUAGAAUGUAUUUACACAAACCUAGGUGGUAUAACCCACUAUUCACCUAAGCAAUAUGGUACUGCUCCUAGGCUACAAACCUGUAUAGCAUGUUACUAUACUGGAUACUGUAAACAAUUGUAACCCAAUGGUAAGUAUUUACAUAUCUAAACAUAUCUGAGCAUUAAAAAGGUACAGUAAAAAUACAGUAUUCUAGUCUUACAGGAUUACCACUAUAUAUGCCCUUUGUCAUUGAUGGAACCAUCAUUAUGCUGUGCUUGCCUAUAUUUCAAAAUUCACUAUAAAAAGAUAGGUGAACCUCAGAUCCAUCUCCUAGAUGUAUGAUUUCUAGCUGCAUAUUAACCUCAGUCACAUUUUAAUAUUAUUCACACAAAAAUUAAAACACUCAGGUAUUUGUGAUGAAGUAAUUUUGCCUAAAUUUAUUUUAUUUCCAAAGAACCUGCAUCAAUUUGAUUCAGUAACAUUUAAAAUCAUUCAACAAAAAUCUUUCAAACUUUUAUGUUACAGUAAUAUUCAAACUCUUUUUUUGUGGCUCAAAUCUUUUUAUGAACUUCAAUUAUGUGAAAAUAUCCAAUUUUAUUUUUAAAUAAAGAUGUUUAGAAAUGUAUUGAUAUUUGUCAAAUCUAAGUUGCAGCUAUGUAAGUUUUUAUUAAGUCAUUCUCUGUGUAUACUUCUAAGUAUGUUGGACUUCUUACAUAAAAAAUUAAACGUUAUUGAGGAAAGAAAAGGGAGAAUAAGUUUCAAAAAGAAAUUUAUCUUUCUUUAGAUAUAUAUAAUCAUCACAAAAUAUUAUCAGAUAACAAAUCUUGAAUUUUACUUUAAAUGAAAACAUUUUUCAGAUCUGUCUUACUAAUUUUAUGUAAUUCCUUUUCACAUGUUUCGUGAGGCUGAUAAAAUGCUUCGUAAGCAGGUAUUCAUGUGGCUCUAUAACAAGUUAUUUUUAGGAAGCUUAUAUACAAAAAUACUUGCCACACUUUCUCUCACUCUCUGGACAGUCAGACAAGAAGGCUCACUUUCUCCAGGAAUCUCCUAGUGCCAGGUUCUGGGCUGUGGACACCAUGCUGGCCAGAGGAAGCUGCUGCACAGGUACAGAGGUGCAGAGGGUGGGGCUGCACUGAGAGGGCGGGGCGGGAUCAGAAGUAAUUUGACCAGUUAGGAAGCUACUGCAAUAGCAAUAUUGAUUAUUUACUAUGUGUCAGAUGCUGUGCCAUUGUGCUAGGUGCUGGGCAUAGGAGUGAAAAAGACACCAAAGUCCUCAGUUCCAGGGAAUUAAUUUUUCUAGUAAACAAACAAACCAAAAAACAAGGAAAGUCAUCAUUACUAUGGAGAAAACAACACUGGAUCUUGUCAUAGCGACUGAGGCCUCCACAGAAGUGUCUUCCUUUGGCUUUGGUAUCAAGGUAAUGCUGGCCUCAUAAGGCAGAAUCAUAAUUCUCUACCAGCUGCUUAUUUUAGAGUCAUCUGGGUCUGGGGAUGGUUCUGGACAAAAAUACAAAUUUGGAGACCCAUCACUGGUUUGUAGGAUCAGUGAGAUCAUGAAAACUAGAAGUAAUUUCAACGCGACUUUUUUUAUUUACUUUGGAAAUGGUUCAGUUGGACACAUGAGUGAUAAGAGGUGGACAUUUCAAGUUCAAUUGUGUUUGAUGACUCAUUAGGUUAAAGAAGCUGUCAGGUGGUAAAGUCACCCCAGGUUGUUAAUAAAUAUACCAGAGAAUAAUGGUCCUGCUAUUGAUGGAUCCCAAGGGAGAAUUCCUAUUAAUCACUUCAAUCUUAGGGAGCACAAAGGAAAGGCCAUGCGAGGACACAGGGAGAAGACAGGCCCCUACCAGUCAGGAAGGGAGCCCUCACCAGAAACUGAGCUGGCCAGCACAAUGGUCUUGGACUUGUAGCUCCAGAACUGUGAGGAAAUAAAUUUCUGUUGUUGAAGCCACCCAGUCUGUGAUUUUUUUUAUGGCAGUACUAGCAGAUUGAUAUACCUUCCAUCUAGUUGCCUGAAAA